rnacentral:lncRNA from 1 species
CCUAUUUGAGGAUUCCUCAAAGAAGUGCUUUGAUUAUCCACAUGCUCUAUCCCAUCAAUAAUGAAUUGUUGAAAGAAAACUCCGGGGAAUCACAAGUCACAUCUCAAGAAGAAAAUGGAGAUCAGAACGGCAAACUGGGCAAAGAUGAAAACAAAGGCAAUGGACAACAGAAGAAGCCUCAUGACCAUGGUGUCCAGGGAGGCCAGGGCGGCCCAUUUAACAUAAGUGGCCCACAUCCCCCACAACGCCCACAUGGCAGCCCAGUUAACAUAAGUGGCCCACAUUGCCCACAUCAUCCUGGUGGCCAACAAGACCCUCAGAGACCAGUUGGCCAAGGUGGUCCAGGUGGUCCUCAUGGUCCAGCAGGCCAACAAGACCCAGAUGGGC